rnacentral:rRNA from 1 species
AGCUCCAAUAGCGUAUAUUAAAGUUGUUGCGGUUAAAAAGCUCGUAGUUGGGUUUCUGUUGAGGGCAGCCGGUCCGCCCUUGGGGCGUGUAUCUGUUUGACCUCGGCAUCCUCUCAAAAAACGUUUCUGCGCUUGGUUGCGUGGAGCGGAGUUUGAGACUUUUACUUUGAGGAAAUUAGAGUGUUCACGGCAGGCAGUCGCCUUGAAUAUAUUAGCAUGGAAUAAUAAUAUAGGAUCUCGGUUCUAUUUUGUUGGUUUCUAGAGCUGAGAUAAUGAUUAAUAGGGACAAUUGGGGGCAUUCGUAUUAACGCGUCAGAGGUGGAAUUCUUAGAUUGCGUUACGACGAACUACUGCGAAAGCAUUUGCCAAGGAUGUUUUCA